GACGAACGCUGGCGGCGUGCUUAACACAUGCAAGUCGAGCGGUAAGGCCCUUUCGGGGGUACACGAGCGGCGAACGGGUGAGUAACACGUGGGUGACCUGCCCUCAGCUCUGGGAUAAGCCUGGGAAACCGGGUCUAAUACUGGAUAUGACUCCAUGACGCAUGUUGUGGGGUGGAAAGCCUUGUGCGGCUGAGGAUGGGCCCGCGGCCUAUCAGCUUGUUGGUGGGGUGAUGGCCUACCAAGGCGACGACGGGUAGCCGGCCUGAGAGGGCGACCGGCCACACUGGGACUGAGACACGGCCCAGACUCCUACGGGAGGCAGCAGUAGGGAAUCUUGCGCAAUGGGCGAAAGCCUGACGCAGCGACGCCGCGUGAGGGAUGACGGCCU
rnacentral:rRNA from 1 species